UUUGGUAUUGGUUUUACAAAUAAGAUAUUCUUAGUCUUUUAACACAUCAGUAUGAAACUGUUAUCAGUAGCAGAACUUUGAAGCAUGAUUAUGGAAAUGAC